rnacentral:misc_RNA from 1 species
UCCCUCUCUCUCUCUCUCUCUCUGGCUCUUUAGGUUAAACUUAAGCUUCCUAGUUACUACUGCUUAGCUCUGUAGGCUAGAAACACAUGCACAUAUGUAAAUGAAUUACUAGGUGAACAAGUCUUUUCCUCUUUUUGUUUUGAAUUCCUAUUUCCCAUUGUCAUUUUCCAAAAAAAAAAAAAUUUAGACUUUUCUAAUCCAUACUUAGUUUAAUUCAGCCUUAAACUUGAGUUUGAGCUCCAAUUUAGAGAUUCCACUAACUUUAAUGGAAAUUUCAAGCUGUGCUCAAGCAGAAAUUUGAAGAUAGACUUAGACAUGAACCAAGUAUGAGCAAUCAUUCUAAUUCAUCAAGCUAACUUAGUGACCUUAUACCAUCUCAACUUGGAUUUUUUGUCUCUUCGUGUCCAGGUUACUUCUCAUAAAGGAACAAGUUCUGGACACAAUUCCAAAAGAUGGUUAACUUGAAAGAUAUGAACAUAACAGAAAUGCGUCAAAUAACACCAGCGGUGCCACGAAGCAGUAAUCAGUGAACACAGUAUAAGUCUCUUAUAGUACAUUUUACUUCUCAUAAAGGACCUAGAUGGAUUUUAAGCAAUAAAUUUCAUAGUCACAAACCUUAAAUGGUUAGCCAAAGAACCCAAAGUACAAUGAUGAUAAUACCUG